UCCAACCCGGCCCACAUCCAAGUGUGACGUCACAGACCACGCCCAUGUCAAAAUACGUCACAUUCUCAAUCAUUUUGAAACAGGAAGAAGCAUCAAUAAGAAGAUAAUUUGUAUUGUUUGCCAACCGCUAAAAAAGAAGCUGUUGUUUGCCGUGUCGCAUUCUACACAUUUUCAGUCCAAGCCUGAUGCAGAGCAGUUCUCCCGGGUUAAGGGGUCCCUGCUGCAGUUUCACCAGUAAAGAAAAUUACUUGUUACAGUUCACUUGAAGGACCACAUAAGCCAUGCAGUGGUGCAUGGAGGAGUGCCAAGAGGACAUAAAGUGGAAGUUUGUAAGGGACAUUGGUCCAGCGUGGUACAGAGUCAUCGUGGGUUAUUCUGUGGGGAGGUGACAGGGCCUGCCGUUCUCCAGAUGGACAGUAAAAAUCAACAGAAUGCCAUCAAAGACUACCUGGAGGGAGAAUCGGAGGAUAUAUUGAAGCAAGGAAUCUCUCUGUGUAGUCUAUGUAUGUAUGUGUGUGUACUGCAUGUCAAGAACUGUUUAU
ensembl:lncRNA